rnacentral:rRNA from 1 species
UACGUACUGUGCGAACGUUAUUCGGAAUCACUGGGCUUAAAGGGUGCGUAGGCGGCCAAUUAAGUAGGGUGUGAAAUGCCAGAGCUCAACUUUGGCAUUGCGCUCUAGACUGAUUGGCUUGAGUGAGAUAGGGGUGUGCGGAACUUCCAGUGGAGCGGUGAAAUGUGUUGAUAUUGGAAGGAACGCCGGUGGCGAAAGCGGCACACUGGGUCUUAACUGACGCUGAGGCACGAAAGCCAGGGGAGCGAACGGG